UCCGAGUUGACCCCGGCAGUCUCCCAUGAGUCCCCACCAUUACGUGCUGGCAACAUGGAACGAGGGUUGCGCUCGUUGCGGGACUUAACCCAACAUCUCACGACACGAGCUGACGACAGCCAUGCACCACCUGUGAAAGUGUCCCGAAGGAAGACCGUGUUUCCACGGCUGUCACUUACAUGUCAAGCCCAGGUAAGGUUCUUCGCGUUGCAUCGAAUUAAUCCGCAUGCUCCGCCGCUUGUGCGGGCCCCCGUCAAUUUCUUUGAGUUUUAACCUUGCGGUCGUAAUCCCCAGGUGGAUUACUUAACGCUUUCGCUAAGACGCUGACUGUGUAUCGCCAACAUCGAGUAAUCAUCGUUUACAGCGUGGACUAC
rnacentral:misc_RNA from 1 species